rnacentral:rRNA from 1 species
GAUGAACGCUAGCGGCAGGCUUAACACAUGCAAGUCGAGGGGCAGCAUACCCGGCAACGGGUGAUGGCGACCGGCGUAAGGGUGAGUAACGCGUGAGCAACAUACCCGUAUCAGUGGGAUAAUACAGGGAAACUUGUUCUAAUAUCACAUAAUAUUAUUCAGAGGCAUCUUUGGAUAAUUAAAGUUCAGGCGGAUACGGAAUGGCUCGCGUGACAUUAGCUAGAUGGUAGGGUAAGCCUACCAUGGCUAUGAUGUCUAGGGGUUCUGAGAGGGACGGUCCCCACACUGGAACUGAGACACGGUCCAGACUCCUACGGGAGGCAGCAGUGAGGAAUAUUGGACAAUGGAUGAAAAUCUGAUCCAGCCAUGCCGCGUGCAGGAAGGCGGCCCUAUGGGUUGUAAACUGCUUUUAGCCGGGAAUAAACACCGUUUAUAACGGCCGAAGUACCGGCUGAAUAAGCAUCGGCUAACUCCGUGCCAGCAGCCGAC